GUGUGGAUAGGGGAGAAAUUCCAAUCGAACCCGGAGAUAGCUGGUUCUCCUCGAAAUAGCUUUAGGGCUAGCCUCGUUUUAGUCUUAUGGAGGUAGAGCACUGAAUUUCCGCGGGGGCGUCAAAGCUUACCAAAGAAUAUCAAACUCCGAAUGCCAUGUAGAUGAUGAACGGGAGUCAGACUGCACGAGAUAAGUUGGGCGGUCAAAAGGGAAAGAGCCCAGACCACCGGCUAAGGUCCCAAAGUGUGUGUUAAGUGGAAAAGGAUGUGGGAAUUCGAAGACAACUAGGAUGUUGGCUCAGAAGCAGCCAUACAUUCAAAGAGUGCGUAACAGCUCACUAGUCGAGAGUCCCUGCGCCGAAAAUGUCCGGGGCUGAAACACAACACCGAAGCCGUGGACUCCGUAAGGAGUGGUAGAGGAGCAUUCUUAAAACCGACGAAGCUGUACCGGUAAGGAGCAGUGGAGGGAUAAGAAGAGAGAAUGCCGGAAUGAGUAGCGAGAGGAAGGUGGGAAUCCUUCCGGCCGAAUAUCUAAGGUUUCCAGAGUAAAGCUGAUCUGCUCUGGGUAAGUCGGGGCCUAAGGAGAGGUCGAAAGACGUAUCCGAUGGACAACAGGUUUAGAUUCCUGUACCACAUAUAAACAGAACUGUGGGGACGCAUGUGGAAAGCAUAAGCCGGGAAUGGAAAUACCGGUACAAACGGAAGAGGUGUCAGGCUGGCAAAUCCGCCUGGCAAGCCAAAGACGUGAUGUGGAGCGAAAUAAAAGUAGCGAAGUAUGUGAGCCAUGUGCCGAGAAAAGCCGCUAUUGUUUUAUAUGUGCCCGUACCGUAAACCGACACAGGUGGAUGAGGAGAGAAUCCUAAGGCCGACGGAAGAAGCAUUGUUAAGGAACUCGGCAAAAUGACCCCGUAACUUCGGGAGAAGGGGUGCCCUGUGAAAGCAGGGCCGCAGUGAAAAGGCUCAAGCAACUGUUUAGCAAAAACACAGGUCUAUGCAAAACCGAAAGGUGAAGUAUAUGGGCUGACGCCUGCCCGGUGCUGGAAGGUUAAGAGGAGAGGUUAGCGCAAGCGAAGCUUUGAAUUUAAGCCCCAGUAAACGGCGGCCGUAACUAUAACGGUCCUAAGGUAGCGAAAUUCCUUGUCGGGUAAGUUCCGACCCGCACGAAAGGCGUAAUGAUUUGAGCGCUGUCUCGACAAUGCAUCCGGUGAAAUUGAAGUACCAGUGAAGAUGCUGGUUACCCGCGCCAGGACGGAAAGACCCCAUGGAGCUUUACUCCAGUUUGAUACUGGGAUUCGGUACUGCACGUACAGGAUAGGUGGGAGACUUAGAACUAUGGACGCCAGUCUGUAGGGAGUCGCUGUUGGGAUACCACCCCUGUAGUACUGGGUUUCUAACCAUCUGCCGUGACCCGGCAGUGGGACAAUGUCAGGGGGGGAGUUCGGGCCACCGGAGCCACCGAGUACGGCUCUCACGUGGUGGCCUAUGAACAGUCCACCGCCGCGGGCGCCUCGGUCAACCGGGGUACCACCAUUGAGGUACGCUUUACCGACAGCACGGCCAGCGGCGCGGGCCUGUAAAAACGGGCCGACAACAUGGGAAACGGGGUGAGGGCAUGAAGCUGAAUGAGCUGUUGGACGGCGUGGCGCUGACCGCGCGGCAUGUCCAGGACGUGGAAUGUUCAGGAAUCUGCUGCGACACCCGAGACAUGACCCCCGGCUGCCUCUUUGUGGCGCUUCCGGGGUACAAGACCGAUGGACACCGGUACAUCCGGCAGGCCCUGGAAGGGGGAGCGGCGGCGGUGCUCUGCCAGCGCCCCCCGGAGGGGGAGGGCCC
rnacentral:rRNA from 1 species